GAUCACGUGGCUUUACAGGGCUAUAUUUAGCCGAUUGUUUGCAUUCAGUGGGUCAGUUGAAUACUAGUUACCAAUUCACUGUUAUACAAAGAUGUCUGGGGGAACGUACAAAGAAGAGUUUGGUAAAAAUAUGUUUACAUAUUGUGAAGCCAGGGUACCGUCAUUCUCCCGAGCUCACCCUAUCAUACCCAGAUUGUAUGUACAGGAAUGGAAAACCGAUAUGAAGAAUAGAGAAUUGAUUAUCAAAAAUGCUCACCCUGGUAGAAUUCCUCAUUAUGAACACGAUGAAAA